rnacentral:rRNA from 1 species
UCUUGGUCUACAUUGAGGAAGUAAAAGUCGUAACAAGGUCUCCGUAGGUGAACCUGCGGAGGGAUCAUUACACAAAUAUGAAGCCGGACUGGGAUAGGGCCUCGCUGCCUUGCCCGUCUGGCGCCAUAUUCACCCAUGUCUUUUUGCGUACUACUUGUUUCCUUGGCGGGUCCGCCCGCCAAUUGGACCUUAUUCAAACCUUUUUUUCAGUUGCAAUCAGCGUCAGCAAAACAAAUGUAAUCAAUUACAACUUUCAACAACGGAUCUCUUGGUUCUGGCAUCGAUGAAGAACGCAGCGAAAUGCGAUAAGUAGUGUGAAUUGCAGAAUUCAGUGAAUCAUCGAAUCUUUGAACGCACAUUGCGCCCUUUGGUAUUCCAAAGGGCAUGCCUGUUCGAGCGUCAUUUGUACCCUCAAGCUUUGCUUGGUGUUGGGCGUCUUGUCUCUCUCCCGAGACUCGCCUUAAAAUCAUUGGCAGCCGGCCUACUGGUUUCGGAGCGCAGCACAUUAUUUGCGCUCUUGUCCAGCCGCGGUCGCGCGUCCAUGAAGCUUCUUUCAACCUUUGACCUCGGAUCAGGUAGGUGCCCCUUGAUC